GACGAACGCUGGCGGCGUGCUUAACACAUGCAAGUCGAACGGAAAGGCCUCGUUCGGGGGGUACUCGAGUGGGGAAAGGGUGUGUAAAACGUGAGUAUCCUGCCCUUGACUUUGGGGUAACUUCAGAAAAAUGGGGCUAAUACCGGAUAGAAGAUCCUGCUGCAUGGUGGGGGUUGGAGAGAUUCGGCGGUUGGGGGUUGACUCGCGGGUUAUCAGCUUGUUGGGGGGGGAGUGGGUUACCAAGGCGUUGUCGGGUAGCCGGCCCGGGAGGGUGACCCGGCAACAUGGGACUUGGAUAACGGCCAGGACCCUACCGGAGGCAGCAGGUGGGAAUAAUGCACAAUGGGUCGAAGCCUGAUGCAGCAACGCCGUGUGCGGGAUGACGGCCUUCGGGUUGGAAACCGCUUUCGCUCAUGACGAAGCUGUGUGUGACGGUAGUGGGUAAAGAAGCACCGGCUAACUACGUG
rnacentral:rRNA from 1 species